rnacentral:tRNA from 41 species
GGGAAUAGCUCAGUUGGUAGAGCACGACCUUGCCAAGGUCGGGGUCGCGAGUUCGAGUCUCGUUUCCCGCUCCA